UCAAUGGUGAAGCAAGAGCUAGAGGUGAAGGAUGAUGAGAAUGAGGAAGGACAGUUGUCUCAGAUGAGAUCAGGGCCACAUCGGUUAACCAUGUGCUCAACCAUGGAUUUAGUAUGAGGGAGGCUGGGCAGAGAGUUCAGCCCAACCUGAGCCACUACACGGUUGUAUCUAUCAUCCGUACAUUCAGAAAUGACAACCGACUCCGGCUGUUCACACCAGGACAAGAGACCGCUAUUGUGAACAUGGUGGUGGUAAACAAUACCAUUAGACUACAAGAAAUCCAGAACCACAUAAUUGCAGACAACACAAUAUUCAAUAACAUUCACCAGCUGGGUUUGUCUACAUUGGACCGUGUAUUACGGCGCAACCGAAUCCGGAUGAAUCAGGUCUUCAUGGUGCCAUUUGAGUGAAACUCAGAGAGGGUUAAAGAACAGCGCUAUGAAUAUGUGCAAAGUCAUGGAGCUGGAUGCCGCUGCAAUUCAGCACGUUUAUAUUUACAUUGAUGAGGCUGGCUUCAACCUGGGGACGGAACAUUCUUGGCCAAUGUGAAUGUCCCUGGACAGCGUGGAGGGAAUAUCACCAUGUGCGCAGCCGUUAGACAGCCAGGCGUCCUCCAACACCAUGCCAACCUUGGUCCCUACAACACCGCCCUUCUCAUCAUAGUCCUGGACACACUAUAUGGCAUCCUCAUUCCAGCCGAGCAGAGGGAUGGACCAGAGCAGCCCAGGUAUGUUGUCAUCUGGGACAACGUGAGUUUCCACCGGGCUGCUCUGCUCCUCAACUGGUUCAUCAACCACCCAUAAUUUAUUGUUCUAUACCUCCCACCAUAUUCCCCAUUCCUAAACCCAAUUGAAGAGUUUUUUCGGCAUGGCGAUGGAAGGUGUAUGACCGCCAUCCCCUCGCAUGCAUGCCUCUUCUCCAGGCAAUGGAAGAUGCAUGUGGUGAAGUUGAUGUGGGGGCUUUCGGCGGCUGGAUCCGUCACUCCAGAAGAUUCUUUCCCCGCUGUUAGCCAGGGACAACACUGCUUGUGAUGUAGAUGAGGUGCUAUGGCCAGACCAAAAUAGAAGGCAGGAUGCAGCCUAAUGUCUUUCUUACAUUUUGCAUAUGUUUUAGUCUUUUGUGCUUUGAAAGAAUGAGCCACUUUCAUUUUUUUGUAGAGAAAACCCUUUAUCUUACU